GUGGGCAAAGGUCCCUCUCAGGAGAGACAUGAAAGCAUCCAGUCAUGGCUUGAUAAGAUUGCUCACCCCGUGGAACAGUUCAGAGGAUCGGGGAGCUGCAAGCAAUGAGAGACAUGGAAUCCUUGUCUGCGUGGUGACUGUACUUAAGGUUUUGUUGGUGCUCGUUUGCUGUGUCUGUUUGAACAUCUGGAUGGAAUCUUCACAUCACAGGAGGCAGACCCAGAGCCCAGCCUCUGAUUUCCCUCUGAUCCUUGAAGCCUCCUGCCUCACCUCCCCGAGCUCCCCAACAGGGAGGAGUAGCAGAGUCUCUUCCCUGAUGGCAGUCCUAAGACCUGCGAGACAAGAAGCUCAAGGUUUCAGUGUUUAAGCAGUCAGAAGAUUUGAGCAUCUGGAAGCUAAGGUCUGUGGGGACACACAAAAGGGUGGCUGCACCAAGGUCAAACAUGGCCUGACACAAAAAUGCUAUUUUUGAACUUGUGGAAGUGCCCUGAGGUUCCCUGGGAUGAUGAAUAAAAGGAAAACACGAAGCAUUUAAUAUUAGUCAUCUUAGUAUGCUUUUAUUGAUAAACAUUUGCAUGAAUAGUGUUAUCAAUAGCACCAUCUACUGUCUCCAGGACAGCAGGACACAAGCUCUGCAUUGUAACAGUGGAGUUGAUGAGUGAAAUGAGAAGGAGGCAGAAAAAGAGGCUCAUCCUGCUCCUCUCCUGCCAACAGCAGCAGUGCCAGAGAGCUGCUGCAUCUACCUGCGCCGGUGACACAGGCUGGGAGCCAGUGUGGCAAAUCUCUGAGAGUGGUUUGGAGCCCUGUUUUCAAGCUGCUGUGGGCCUCUCUUCAUGAGUGUUGCCAAAGCAUAGCAUCCAAAUUGUCAACAACAAACACCAGGAAUAUUAUUUCCUCCAGUGCUUUGAUUAUUCUUCUCUGCUUGCCCUUGACAGUCUUGAAGUCCCUUCUGGGGGAAGUUGCUAUCCUUGGCUCAAUUUCUUUGAGAGGUCAUAGGCCAGAGAGCAACAGAAGGCUUCAGUCAAGACAAAAUAAUAUUUGGGGUAGUUCUUAUUCACAGUAUUUAAGCCAUAACUGCCUUCUCGGUCUGACACCAUCAGAAACAGAGGUAAAAGCCCAAAGGCCCUGUGAACUGGGACACUGUACUCGAUGUGGGGCCUCACAAGGGCAGACAGAGUAGAGGACAAUCCCCUCCCUCGGCCUGCUGGCCACCCCUCUGGUGAUGCAGCCCAGGACACUAUUGGC